AACGAACGCUGGCGGCAUGCCUAACACAUGCAAGUCGAACGAGACCUUCGGGUCUAGUGGCGCACGGGUGCGUAACGCGUGGGAAUCUACCCUCAGGUUCGGAAUAACUCAGAGAAAUUUGAGCUAAUACCGGAUGAUGACGUAAGUCCAAAGAUUUAUCGCCUGAGGAUGAGCCCGCGUAGGAUUAGGUAGUUGGUGAGGUAAAGGCUCACCAAGCCGACGAUCCUUAGCUGGUCUGAGAGGAUGAUCAGCCACACUGGGACUGAGACACGGCCCAGACUACUACGGGAGGAAGCAGUGGGGAAUAUUGGACAAUGGGCGAAAGCCUGAUACAGCAAUGCAGCGUGAGUGAUGAAGGCCUUAGGGUUGUAAAGCUCUUUUACCCGGGAUGAUAAUGACAGUACCGGGAGAAUAAGCUACGGCUAACUCCGUG
rnacentral:rRNA from 1 species